GGAUUGUGGCUCAGUGGUAGAGUGAUUGCCUAGCAUGUUUGAGGCACUGGGUUUGAUCCUCAGCACCA
rnacentral:tRNA from 1 species